AUAACUGAAUAGGUAAAACCGUAGACAGUGGGUGCAGUAUGCAUAACGUAAACAACCUACCGAGGGUUCCAUACAAAUGCUUGUAAUGGGUCUUUCCUUGUCUGCGGAAAGACCCUUUCUUAAUUAUAAA
rfam:Clostridium intestinale TRNW genomic scaffold scaffold1, whole genome shotgun sequence.